rnacentral:rRNA from 1 species
GAUGAACGCUAGCUACAGGCUUAACACAUGCAAGUCGAGGGGAAACGGCAUCGAAAGCUUGCUUUUGAUGGGCGUCGACCGGCGCACGGGUGAGUAACGCGUAUCCAACCUGCCCAUCACUUGGGAAUAACCUUGCGAAAGUAAGACUAAUGCCCAAUGACAUCCCACGAAGGCAUCCGAGUGGGAUUAAAGAUUUAUCGGUGAUGGAUGGGGAUGCGUCUGAUUAGCUUGUUGGCGGGGUGACGGCCCACCAAGGCAACGAUCAGUAGGGGUUCUGAGAGGAAGGUCCCCCACAUUGGAACUGAGACACGGUCCAAACUCCUACGGGAGGCAGCAGUGAGGAAUAUUGGUCAAUGGGCGAGAGCCUGAACCAGCCAAGUAGCGUGCAGGAUGACGGCCCUAUGGGUUGUAAACUGCUUUUAUAAGGGAAUAAAGUGGGUCACGUGUGACUUUUUGCAUGUACCUUAUGAAUAAGGACCGGCUAAUUCCGUG